rnacentral:snRNA from 1 species
UCACUUCAAUAGCACAUAUACUAAACUUGGAACAAUAAAGAGAAGAUAAGCCUGACCCCUGCACAGAAAUCAUCAAAUCUGUAAAGUAGUCCAUAUUUUU